GGACUACUAGGGUAUCUAAUCCUGUUUGCUCCCCACGCCUUCGCACCUCAGCGUCAGUUCCCACCCAGAAGACCGCCUUCGCCUCCGGUGUUCCUCCGGAUAUCUGCGCAUUUCACCGCUACACCCGGAAUUCCAUCUCCCUCUGUGAAACUCUAGAAAAACGGUCUCAUUCGUCAGCCCCAGGUUAAGCCCAGGUCUUUCACAACUGACUCGCCUUCCCGCCUACGCGCCCUUUACGCCCAGUCAUUCCGAUUAACGCUCGCGCCCCCCGUAUUACCGCGGCGGCUGGCAC
rnacentral:rRNA from 1 species